rnacentral:rRNA from 1 species
UACGUAGGGGGCAAGCGUUGUCCGGAAUCAUUGGGCGUAAAGCGCGCGUAGGCGGCCUGUUAAGUCGAACGUGAAAUCCCCGGGCUCAACCCGGGAACUGCGUCCGAUACUGGCAGGCUUGAAUCCGGGAGAGGGAUGCGGAAUUCCAGGUGUAGCGGUGAAAUGCGUAGAUAUCUGGAGGAACACCGGUGGCGAAGGCGGGUCUCUGGGCAACAACUGACGCUGAGGAGCGAAAGCGUGGGGAGCGAACAGG